CCCUUAGAUGUUCUGGGCCGCACGCGUGCUACACUGAGUGGAUCAGCGGGUCAGGUUGCGCGAAAGCGUUUCCUAAUCUUGAAAUCAGCUCGUGAUGGGGAUUGACGGUUGCAAUUUUCUGUCAUGAACGAGGAAUACCUUGUAAGCGCGGGUCAUCAUCCCGCGCUGAAUACGUCCCUGCCCUUUGUACACACCGCCCGUCGCUCCUACCGAUUGAGUGGUCCGGUGAGGCUUUGGGAUCUGAGCGGAAAGAGCGUUUCGCUCGUUCUGCCCGGAAAACUCAGUCGAACCUUAUCAUUUAGAGGAAGGAGAAGUCGUAACA
rnacentral:rRNA from 1 species